UGUCAGUAUUUUUAUUCUCUACCAUGCAUACUCUGGAAAUAAUCAGUCCAAAGGCCUAUAUACAUUCUAAUCAACUUGAUCCAAAACUCGCCCUGACUUUCACUAUUUAUGUACUUCACAGUUGUCAUGCACAGUGUGGUCAACAUCAUCAUCAGAGUGGAUCCUGUAACAGUAUUAACUCACAAUAUCAUCAAGCCUAAACUUUCCAUCCCACCAAAUCUUUGCACUAAUGUUCUAGUUCAUUCUUCUGAUGCACGAAAGCAAACCUUCUCAAGUUGCAUUGGCCACUCUUCUCCAAGAAUCUUAGGGUUUAGUUCCAUUGUAAGCCGAAAAUCUAACAUGGAUACUGUAGUGGACCCAUUUGGUUUCUGAAAAUAUCUCACAGGCCGCACCCCAUUCAAACCAGAUAUGAAUCGAAUCUGUCCUUGACCUGUAUGUUUGUGUCCAGAUCUUGAACCAGCUAAAUCCAUACAG
rnacentral:misc_RNA from 1 species